rnacentral:rRNA from 1 species
UACAGAGGGGGCAAGCGUUAUUCGGAAUUAUUGGGCGUAAAGGGCGCGUAGGCGGCUCGGCACGUCCGUCGUGAAAUCGCUCGGCUCAACUGGGCGAGGUCAGCGGAUACGGUCGAGCUUGAGCCAGCUAGGGGGCAAUGGAAUUCCCGGUGUAGUGGUGGAAUGCGUAGAGAUCGGGAAGAACACCAGUGGCGAAGGCGACGUGCUGGGUUGCGACUGACGCUGAGAUGCGAAAGUGUGGGGAGCAAACGGG